GGGCACGUGGUGUAGUUGGUUAUCACGCUCGCUUAGCACUCCCGCCGAGGAACUUGCGAGAGGGGUCCGGUUCAAUCCCGGACGUGUCCA